rnacentral:rRNA from 1 species
GUAAAUAAUUAAGGGCGUAUGGUGGAUGCCUAGGCUCUCAGAGGCGAAGAAGGACGUGAUAAGCUGCGCAAAGCUCCGUUUAGGUGCAAAUAACCUUUGAUGCGGAGAUCUCCGAAUGGGAUAACCCAAUAUGUUGAAGACAUAUUAUACCGUAAGGUAGGCAAACGCAGGGAACUGAAACAUCUAAGUACCUGCAGGAGAAGAAAACAAACGUGAUUCCCCCAGUAGCGGCGAGCGACCGGGGAAAAGCCCAAACCGUUAUUGUUUCGGCAUUAACGGGGUAGUAGGACUGCAAGUUUGAUGAAAUAAAUGAAAUGGAACACUUUGGAAAAUGUGAUCACAGAGGGUGAUAAUCCCGUACAUGCAAGUUUAUGAAUCAUAGCAGACUCCUGAGUAAGUCGGGACACGUGUAAUCCUGACCGAAUCCGCCGGGACCAUCCGGCAAGGCUAAAUACUCCUGAGAGACCGAUAGUGAACCAGUACCGUGAGGGAAAGGUGAAAAGCACUUCGAACAGAAGAGUGAAAUAGUCCCUGAACCCAUACGCCUACAAGCAGUCGGAGCCGCUUCGUGCGGUGACGGCGUGCCUUUUGCAUAAUGAGCCUACGAGUUACUCAUCACCAGCGAGGUUAAGUACUUCAGGUACGUAAGCCGAAGCGAAAGCGAGUCUGAAUAGGGCGUCAAGUUGGUGGUGGUAGACGCGAAACCUUAGUGAUCUACCCAUGGGCAGGGUGAAGGUUUGGUAACACAAACUGGAGGCCCGAACCGGUAAACGUUGAAAAGUUUUCGGAUGACCUGUGGGUAGGGGUGAAAGGCCAAUCAAACUGGGAAAUAGCUCGUACUCUCCGAAAUGCAUUUAGGUGCAGCCUCUGUUGUUUUGUUCUAGAGGUAGAGCUACUGAUUGGAUGCGAGGGCUUCACCGCCUAUCAAAUCCGGCCAAACUCCGAAUGCUAGAACAUGAAGACAGGGAGUGAGCCAGCGGGUGCUAAGGUCCGUUGACGAAAGAGGGAGAACUCAGACCAUCAGCUAAGGUCCCCAAUUAUAUGCUAAGUUGGAAUUAAAACGGGGUGGGACUGCUUAGACAGCUAGGAUGUUGGCUUGGAAGCAGCCAUUCAUUUAAAGAGUGCGUAACAGCUCACUAGUCGAGCGGUCCUGCAUGGAUAAUACGCGGGCAUAAGCAUAUAACCGAAGCUAUGGGAUUGUAGAUGAUACAAUCGGUAGGAGAGCAUUCCAUUCAGCAUAGAAGCAGUACCGUGAGGUAUUGUGGAGCGGAUGGAAAAGCAAAUGUAGGCAUAAGUAACGAUAAUGCGGGUGAGAACCCCGCACGCCGAAAGAUCAAGGAUUCCCCGGCAAUGUCAAUCAUCCGGGGGUAAGUCGGAUCCUAAGGGUAAGCCGAGUGGCGAUCCCGAUGGCAAACAGGUUAAUAUUCCUGUACUGAUCAUAACUGCGAUGCAGCGACGCAGAGGUGACACUGCUGCGUACUGACGGAAUAGUACGUUGAAACCCGUAUUCUUUGAUACCGGUAGUGAAGCACGCCGGUAGAGAUGAAAGGUGAUAGUACCGCAAUGCUUCGGUUGCGCGGAUAACGCAGGUAAGCUGACUGCCAAGAAAACCUGCUAAGCUUCAGGUAAUGAUCAUCCGUACUGUAAACGGACACACGUGAUCAGGUAGAAAAUACUAAGGCGCUCGAGAGAUUCAUGGUUAAGGAACUAGGCAAAAUGGUCCUGUAACUUCGGGAUAAAGGACGCUCUUGUGAAAGAGCCGCAGAUAAUAGGCCCAGGCGACUGUUUACCAAAAACACAUGGCUAUGCUAAUUCGCAAGAAGAUGUAUAUGGCCUGACACCUGCCCGGUGCCGGAAGGUUAAGAGGAGAGCUCAGAGGUAACUCGAAGGUUUGAAUUGAAGCCCCGGUAAACGGCGGCCGUAACUAUAACGGUCCUAAGGUAGCGAAAUUCCUUGUCGGGUAAGUUC